rnacentral:rRNA from 1 species
UGUGGGAACGUACCCUUUACUACUGAAUAACGCAGGGAAACUUGUGCUAAUACCGUAUGUGCCCUUUUGGGGAAAGAUUUAUCGGUAAGGGAUCGGCCCGCGUUGGAUUACCUAGUUGGUGGGGUAAAGGCCUACCUAGGCGACGAUCCAUAGCUGGUCUGAGAGGAUGAUCACCCACAUUGGGACUGAGACACGGCCCAAACUCCUACGGGAGGCAGCAGUGGGGAAUAUUGGACAAUGGGCGCAAGCCUGAUCCAGCCAUGCCGCGUGAGUGAUGAAGGCCUUAGGGUUGUAAAGCUCUUUCACCGGAGAAGAUACUUACCGGAUCCGGACAAGAAGCCCCGGCUAACUUCGUGCCAGCGGCCGCGGUAUUUCUAAGGGGGCUAGAGUUGUUCGGAUUACUGGGCGUAAAGCCCACGAAGGCGGACAUAUAAGUCGGGGGUGAAAUCCCGGGGCUCAACCUCGGAACUGCCUUUGAUACUGGGUGGCUUGAGUGUG